CUAGAAAGAAAUGGGUUACUUCAACAGACUAACAGUGUUGGUCUUUCCUUCCAGACAGGCAGGAAUGAAUGACAGCUUUAGAAAAGCCACACGUAUGGAAGAGAAAAGAUUAUGGACAAAGACUGAAGAGUACAUAAAGGCUCUUCCGAAAGGACCAGCUGGACUACCAUUUUAAAGGUCUCUUUUUACAUCUUUCACAAGGAGCAACCUCCAAAAGAAAGAAUCCACUGUGAAGAACAGAAGAAACAAUGUGUUGCUUACCUGAACCCGAGGCAGUAGUCAAGGUACGAAACCUCUCUGUACUGAGUUAUUGUCUUACUCUCCUGUUGUUGCUAUGGUCUUUAUACUUUUCUGAA
rnacentral:lncRNA from 1 species